CCUUAGCUCAGUUGGUAGAGCAAUGGACUGAAAAUCCAUGUGUCCCUGGUUCGAUUCCUG
rnacentral:tRNA from 1 species